UGUGGGAGCGGGCUUGCCCGCGAUAGCGGUGUGUCAGUCAGAGUUGCAUUAACUGACCCACCGCUAUCGCGGGCAAGCCCGCUCCCACA
rnacentral:misc_RNA from 1 species